AAUAAAACCCCGGCAGCCCUCCUCCCCUGGCCCUCAGCGGCGGCCUGUCUGAUUGGAUGCCUCCCACAGCCCUGAAGACCAGAGCUUCAAGGAGGAAGCCGCCAGGGACACGCUGAGUCCUCGCUUCUUAAAGUGCGCCCGUCCAAUGCAAAUGUCACCACCUCUGCAAGUACCCCUGUGACUCCUCCAGAGAAGACUGUGAGCUCCAAAGACAUCAUCAUUGUGGUCAGUAUCUGUCAUUCCUGCCUGCCUUGCCUCCAGGUCUGCUUCCUUCUGUAAUGGCACCUGUGGUCUCCAGUCCUCACCAUGGCCCCCAGUGAUGCUUGGCUCCUGGUCUCCACACCCUUGUGUUGUUCCCUCCCACACUGACCAGGGCUGAGUUGUGUGACUAACAGGACAUUACAGAAGUGAGGCAAUGCAGCAGGGUGUGUGACUUCCCAGGGGACAGCAACAAGGGCCCUCUAGCUUCUGCCCUGUUCCCUUUUGGGCUGGUUGCUCAGGCGAAGCCAACCGCCAUGUUGUCAGGACACUCAAGUAGCCCCAUGAAGAGGCCCAUGUGGAGAGGUGUUGAAACCUUCAGCCAACAGCCAGCACCAGCUGGCCAGCUGUGAGACUAAGCCACCUUGGAAACGGAUCCUCCAGCCCAGCCAGUCCUUUGGAUGACUGCAGCUCUGCUGACAGAUUGACACCAACCUCAUCACAGACCCAGCUACCCCACUGUGUUCCUGACCCACAGGAACCAUGUGGGAUGAUACAUAUUUGUUAUUGUUUGGGGAGAAAUUAUUAGCCAGCAAAAGAACCAAUAAGUAUCUCAGUUCUCCUCAGAAACUACCCUUCGUCCACUGUGUGUGGCCUUGGUAGAACUGGCACUUUAGGUGCUCCAUCUUCCCUGGGCCAAGGGAUGGGGGCCUUGACCCUAGAGAGGACAAUGAGACCCUCUUUCUGGAAUUUGUAUCUUGAACCAGAGAGACUAGACCAGGAAAUGAUUGGACUGAUUUCCAGAAGCUACUUGACAUCACGCACACACACGUAGGAACACACACACACAUAUACGUAUAUACAUAUAUACAUAUAAACACACACGUAUGCACACC
rnacentral:lncRNA from 10 species